rnacentral:lncRNA from 1 species
UCAUGUGCACACGGUACCAGCCAUGUGGGUUUCAAUUUCUUUCAUUUUAAAAAAAGCAUGGAUCAUGUGAAUUUAGGGUGCAACUUUAAUUUUUAUUUAUUUUAUUUUAUUUUAUUUUUUUUCUUUUGCUUUAGGAAUGUUUUACAUUAUAUGUUUAGUAGUUUUUUUUUUCAUCCAUUAAAUUUAGUGUUGCAUUUUAAUGGCUUUAAUUAUAUUUAGAUAUUUUUGUUACAGUGUUAGGCAUUUAAUAUUUUCUUUUACUUUAAUGCUUUNUAUUUUUAGUUGUGAUAAUUUAGUUGUAAUGUUAGCUUUAGUGUCCAUCCGUUUCAAUAUUGUGAGUUAGGUUUAAUUUUCGUGCUUUAAUUUAGUCGAAUUGCAUUCACAGAAACACUUUCAACCCCCCCCCCCUCCGUGUUUGACUUGAUUCUUGAACCGUAAAAUUGGUCUUUGGGAGACGACCUAGGGGUCAUUCCCUAGCUAUACUGCAUUCCUAAUAUGCAAUCAAAUUUGUAUGGGCCGCGACACCCAUCACUUAGCAGUUUGCUUAAAUCAAUAAAUCUCUUAGUACUGGUUCUGCUAGAUUGAGAUUUGUAGCCUAUUCCUUGUCUGUAAAUAGCUCUGCCAGAUGAUUUUAGUACAACAUCUAAAUUGUCUCUUCCUUGAGUAAACUUAGUGUUAAACCUCUGCAAGUGUAGCAGAUCGUUAUUAAGUAAUAUAAACGGUAAGAUCGAGUAUCGUUCUCCCAAAUGACUCUUAGGUCUUA